AGACCCUAUUCUUCUGCCUCAGUGGUCUCCGCAUCAUUUCUUCGAGAUCAAAAGAGAACCAAAAGUCAUCUCUUCUACAUCCUUGCUUUUUGGCUUCCUUAUAGAUCAUAAGAGAUACUGAGGCAAUAUUGAAAGACAGAUGCUAUUAAAGCAAACUUAAGAUUAUGGAAAAGUGAGAACACGCAGGGAAUACAAAGCAACUAUAGUGAUGCAAUUCAGCUUAAUGAUGCAUAUGAUAAACCAGGUCUUUAGA
rnacentral:lncRNA from 10 species